rnacentral:rRNA from 1 species
UUCGCAAUGCCCGAAAGGGUGACGAUGCGACGCCGCGUGAGCGAAGAAGGCCCUAGGGUUGUAAAGCUCUGUCGAAGGUUAUGAAAUAUAGAUGGGUUAAUACCCCAUUUAUUUGACAAAAGCCCAAAAGGAAGCCACGGCUAACUCUGUGCCAGCAGCCGCGGUAAUACAGAGGUGGCGAGCGUUGUUCGGUAUUAUUGGGCGUAAAGAGCACGUAGGUGGUUUUGUAAGUCAGGUGUGAAAGCCUUCUGUUCAAAGGAAGAACGGCAUCUGAAACUGCAGAUCUUGAGUGUAGGAGGGGAGAGUGGAACUUCUGGUGGAGCGGUGAAAUGCGUAGAUAUCAGAAGGAACGUCGGCGGCGAAAGCGACUCUCUGGCCUAUUACUGACACUGAGGUGCGAAAGUUAGGGGAGCAAACGGGAUUAGAUACCCCGGUAGUCCUAACCGUAAACGAUGGGCACUAAGUAGAGGGGUUUU